rnacentral:rRNA from 1 species
GACGAACGCUGGCGGCGUGCUUAACACAUGCAAGUCGAACGGAAAGGCCCUGCUUUUGUGGGGUGCUCGAGUGGCGAACGGGUGAGUAACACGUGAGUAACCUGCCCUUGACUUUGGGAUAACUUCAGGAAACUGGGGCUAAUACCGGAUAGGAGCUCCUGCUGCAUGGUGGGGGUUGGAAAGUUUCGGCGGUUGGGGAUGGACUCGCGGCUUAUCAGCUUGUUGGUGGGGUAGUGGCUUACCAAGGCUUUGACGGGUAGCCGGCCUGAGAGGGUGACCGGCCACAGGGGGAUAGAGAUGCGGCACAGACGGCUACGGGAGGCAGCAGGGGGGAAUAGUGCACGAUGGGCGGCAGCCUGAGGCAGCAACGCCGCGUGCGGGAUGACGGCGGUCGGGUUGUAAAGCGCUUACGCCUGUGACGAAGCGUGAGUGACGGGAAUGGGUAAAGCAGCACCGGCUAACUACGUG